GGCCAGGUAGCUCAGAUGGUAGAGCAGGGGAUUGAAAAUCCCCGUGUCGGCGGUUCAAGUCCGUCUCUGGCCA
rnacentral:tRNA from 1 species